GAGGGUAUAGCUCAGUAGAGCGCAUGCUUAGCAUGCAUGCGGUCAUGGGUUCGAUCCCCAGUACCUCUG
rnacentral:tRNA from 1 species